UUCGCUCUCUGCUUUCAUCUCUUUAACUAGAAUUUAUUUUGGGGAGCGAAGUUCCUUCCUGGGCACUGGCCACUGGUGCUCAGGCUGAGAUUUGAGACAAUGCAAUUUGUGACUGCCUCUGUUCGAGGGCUGGUAAGUACAAUGUAAAUAAAACAAGUUUCACUGAAAUAUACCCAGACUUCACAUCACAGAGUUCUCCUCCAACAGGAAGCUGACCUGCAACCCUCAAAAAUCUACAACUACAUGGCAGACGGGUGAUGAUAUUGUUUCCUUCACUACUCUGUCGGGAAUAGUCCUUACCGAGGGCUCUUUGAAACAAGACUGCACAAGGUGAACUUCAAUAAACGAUGAUGCACUUCUGAAUACUGGUGUAAUGGCACCCUCCAGAUCUAAGACUCAGGACAAAGCUGCCAGGGCAAAGAAAGCUGGUAAGGAGAGAGCUGCUGGCUAUGAGAAAAAGAACCCUCCUGAGGAUUCCAUGGUCCAAGGUGGGAGACUGAGGAAAGAAAAGAGCAUUGCUCAAGCUACAUCUGAAAAACCCUCUUCUGAAAAAGAGACAAUUCCUUUAGUUAUAUCUGUACAGAACAUGUCGAGCCAGAGGGAGGCAAGGAUUAAGGGAGGCAAAGAGUAUGGCCACAAAAAGCAAGCCAAAGGGGAGAGAACCUCCAAGGGCAAAGACAAAAGAGAAUUUGGUUCUGGUGGAAAGCAUGGAGAACAAUUAAUGUCCAAGGAGAAGAAAAAAGUAAGGGGCUCCAAGCAACAGGAUCUGAGAGGCCCGGGAAGCAAGGUCAGUGUUUGCAAUGAGGUAAAGGCCACUGAAGACUGCAAGAAACAUACUUUUAAAAGGAAGCACAGGGAGCACCUGAGUGUGAGUGAAAUGGCCAUUGAGAUUGAGUCUGUAAAGCCCUUCACAGUGGGAAGUACUGAGGGCUCCUCUCAAAAACACGAGUCUCCUCAGACUGAUGGCCGUGUCAGUGCUGGGAAAAAAUACAAUAAGAAGCAUGUCUCCAAAGCAACGACCAUCAGAAAGUCAGGUUCCCAGCUCCAGGGCAGUCUGGAGCUCAGAUCUAAGACAAUGAAGUGUGAGGGUAGGAGUGAUGGACAGAAGAAGAAACAAGUUAGAAAAUCAGCCAGGACUAUUUCCAGUGUAAGUGAGGAAGGAAAGAGCCUGGAAAGCUCAGAUGAUGGGUCUUGUUUUGGCUCGAGAGAUGAAGCUAGUUGUAGCCAAGCAAGAAGAAAGAGAGAGACUAGUGAUGACAACACCCAAAUCAGUGAAGACAUGAGAAGCUCUUUGGAAGAACUCUCUAUUGAGGAAAAAGCUACACAGGAAAAUUGGCUUCCGUCCAAAGGAAAAGGCUGCCGAGAGUCUCAUGAUGGAAGCAACAAAGCAACCGGGGAAAGUGAAAGAGAACAGGAGAUGACAGACAACAGGCAAGAAUCUGAAGAUGAAGAAACUGUCUCAGAAGAGUCUGAGGUAGAUGGGAAAAUGAAGGAGCAGGAUAAAGUCUCUAAGCAAAGAAAAUCUACUCUAAGCGAUAGCAGUGAGGAAGAUUAUAGUGCAGGGGCUUCAGAGGAUGAAGUCAAAAGCUCAGUGAAGGGAGAAAAUGAGAGUGAUGAAGAAGAACAGGAAAACCUGUUGGAAAAAGACAACAGUGAAGAAAUGUCUGAAGAUGAGCAAGCUAAAUCUGAAAGCGAGCAGGAUGAAGAGGAUGGUGUUGAAGAAAUAGAUGACAACAAGCGAGAGAGACCAAGAAGGAAACUGCUGCCUAGCACUGUCAAAGCAAAGCUCCUUAACAUGGGCUUGAGCAAAGGCCCUCCGGGAAACAGCUGGGAAGGGAAUAUGAAUGGCAGCGGCAGGAUGGCGAGAGAUGGCUCUGCGUGGCCCACACAGCAAAUGCCAAAAAAGAAAUCCCAGAAGCCUGAGAUAAUAAAGCAAGGUGAAGAGUUAAAACACAUAUAUCAGGAUAGUUCAUCCUCAGACAGCGGCAAAAGGGUGGAUUCGGUGGUUGUGCUUGCAAAGAAGUGCAGUCCUCUCACUUUGCAAUCCCAGAUUCUCCUGAAUCUGAAAAACAAUCAUAAAGUUGCCCAGGCCAAACUGUUGGCAAGAAGUAAACAGAGUCCUCUCCAGAAGGCAGCAGAAACUAGCUCUGAUCUGGAGAAGGUUCAAAAGGUCCCUUCUAAAAAAAGUGCCACAAAAACGUAUAAGGCACUUAGGGAUUCCAGUAUAGCUAAGGAUCUUGGAGAACCAAGAGUAAGUCUCUCCAAUGUUUCAAGCUCCUCCUCUAGUACUAAAAACCUAGCUGUUGAUAAGCAGCAUCUUGACAAGAGAGAGAAGAUUGGGAAAGUAAUUGGAAACGUCAAACAUGCUUCGUGUCAGACUCUAUCAGUAAGAGAAGAGAUAGUGGUUGAAGAGGCACCCACUGAAAAAGAGCAAGUGCUGAAGCAAAAGGGCAUCCAGUCCCUGCACACCCUUUCGGCAUUUAGAAAAGUAACCAGCUGGCUCAGCCAAAAACCUCCCAAGAAAGCAAGCCUGAAAGAUCGUUUUCUGAGGGCGAUGCGUGCAGUUGGUAUCUCAGGCUGGCUUCUGAAGAAGUUUGGGAAGAGGAGCAGCAAGCCAUCUGGAUUCAGAAGAAGAAUGGCGAUCAGGAUUGUUAGCACCACUGGACUAAUCAAUAAACAGGGCGGAGCCUCCCCUGGCCCAAUGGGAGAACAGAGAAAGAGGGAGUUGAGUAGCAAAAGCUCUUCUCAGCCAUUGCUAGAAUGGAAUCAUCCUCAUACAAAGGUGGCAGAGGAGCUGGAAGAAGCCCAUUUGGCUUCAUGCGAUUCUCCCCGUAAUGAAACUAACUCUUCUCUGCAAUUGCUAAAUCUGGACGGACCUGCUAAGGAGAAGAACAUUAUCACUGAUGCCAAAUUUGCCAUUGUGUUCCCCAGGGUCCAUCACAUGGUGAAGACAAGAGGAGUUUCUUCCGGGAAUAGUGAAUCACAGCCGCAGUCAACAGAUGUAUCUAGCAGAAAAGCAGUGAUAUCUGUGCAUCCGGGCUGCAAGUUCAAAUAUGACCUCUCGAAGGAGCAAACCUGUCAGAGGAUCAGUCAAGGGCUUCCCCACAACGAUGAAAUUGAUCCAUCAAUGCCAGGUGAUCCAAGUCAAGCAAAAUGCCUUGCAACCCAUUACAGAGUGACUAGGCUUUUGAGCUCCUCAUCCCAAGGGAUAAAGAUGCCCGAGGGGAAAGAUGUAUCCAAGUCCCAGUUCCUCGCAAAGGGGCAAAGAGGGCAGUCACCAUACCAGGCCACUAAACCCGCCCUCUUCCCAGAGGCAGCUGUAAACUAUCGGUAUGAGCAGGGCUUCCUUCCACAGGAGGAAGGAGAGGGCUCAGAGGAUUUGAUGGCCUCUUACUUUGAGGGAGAUGUUGACAAAGAGGCUGCAAAUCUUAUCCAACAUGCUGGAUCUGAAGCCCCAGCCCAGAUGCACUGGACUCAGCGGCGAACUCUGGAGUGUGAUCCUACGGCAUGGCUGAACUCUGAAAUGCUGCUCCCGCGACUCACCAUUGAGAACCUCAGCAAAUGGGCCAUGUAUAAGGACCAGGAUCUAGUCAAGACCCACAGGCCGAAGACAUUGGGAGAAAGGUGGGAGGCAGAAGAUGUCACUGAGGAUAUUCUUGAGAUGGACGUGACAUGGAAACAGGUGUACCUGGAUGAAAACCACUCGGUGGAGCUUGAGGAGGUUGAAGAUCUGUCCAGACUGGAGUAAGCAUGGAGGUCUGUGAGAGCUCAGUCCUUCUGUGUCUGAAGAAGAGAUUCCAUCGCAAUUUCAUUUACACCUACAUUGGGCAAAUCUUGGUCUCUGUGAAUCCUUUCAAGCCCCUCAAUCUCCACUUGGCAGAGG